rnacentral:rRNA from 1 species
CAGCCGCCGCGGGAAUACGUAGGGUGCGAGCGUUAAUCGGAAUUACUGGGCGUAAAGCGUGCGCAGGCGGUUAUAUAAGACAGAUGUGAAAUCCCCGGGCUCAACCUGGGACCUGCAUUUGUGACUGUAUAGCUAGAGUACGGUAGAGGGGGAUGGAAUUCCGCGUGUAGCAGUGAAGUGCGUAGAUAUGCGGAGGAACACCGAUGGCGAAGGCAAUCCCCUGGACCUGUACUGACGCUCAUGCACGAAAGCGUGGGGAGCAAACAGGAUUAGAUACCCCAGUAGUCCCUGUCUCUUAUAC